AUACGAGGGCCCCAAGCGUUAUCCGGAUUUAUUGGGCGUAAAGGGUCCGUAGGUGGUUUGUCACAUCUCCUGUUAAAUCUAUCGGCUCAACCGAUAGGCUGUGGGAGAGAUGGGCAGACUAGAGGCCGGAAGAGGCAAGCGGAAUUGCUGGUGUAGGGGUUAAAUCCGUUAAUAUCAGCAGGAACACCAAAUGCGAAGGCAGCUUGCUAGGACGGUCCUGACACUAAGUGACGAAAGCGUGGGUAGCGAAUGGGAUUAGAAACCCCUGUAGUCC
rnacentral:rRNA from 1 species